ACAUUUACAUGUCUUUUAAACCGAUUUUUUUUUAUUAUGACGUGUCCAAGACAUUUAGCACCAUUUAAGAGGAGCAGCGCUGAAACACAGAAUUGAAAUUGCUUGAUAACACAUCUGCAUUUUAAACUUUAAGCUUGCUUUCAAAUACACUGUACCAUCCGUGUUUACUAUAAAUACAGAGAGGUACGGUGAAGAAAUUGGGGAAAAGCAUGUACAAUGGAAAUGAAAAAUGAACAAAAUGCAUGAGGGGGUUUCUUGAGUUGGAGGAGAGCAAUAUUGGAAGAAUGUUGGAAGACAAGGCAAUUCUGGGCAGAGUGCAUGGUCUAUGGAAGAGCAGAUGUCACAGCUCUUUCCAGAAGAACCUCAGGCAUCACUGGUGAGGAUGGGCUGGAGUAGAACUCAUUCAGUCCACCGCAGGUAACGAAGGAACCUUCACCAACCUGCAACCCUGUUCACAUAACUGCAGGCACCCUGGGCACCACUGGCCAGGCCGCCACUUCCUAAAGCCCAAGUAAAUGUAUUUCCUGUACCAUGAAAGCCCUAGAGAGGGAGGAGAAGAUUAAAUAUAGCUUGUUUUUCAUUUGCCGUUUUAUUUGAAAUUGUCAAUUUUAUAUUACUGCUAAGCCAUGAAAGUGUUUUCGAUUGUGUGUUUUUUAAAAAGCCAUGUUAUAUCUGCAAAAUAUUUUUCAUACAAAUCCUUAUUACUUUCAACCAAUGAUGACCCGUUUGGUUAA
rnacentral:lncRNA from 1 species